rnacentral:rRNA from 1 species
UUGCUGAAGCUAGUAAAGUGGCGUACGGGUGAGUAACGCGUGGGUAAUCUACCUUCGAAUUGGGGAUAACGUUGCGAAAGUGACGCUAAUACCGGAUAAUAUCAUAGAGACCUUGGUUUUUAUGAUCAAAGAUGGCCUCUCCUUGGAAGCUAUUGUUUGGAGAUGAGCCCGCGUCCCAUUAGCUUGUUGGUAGGGUAAUGGCCUACCAAGGCUACGAUGGGUAGCUGGUCUGAGAGGAUGAUCAGCCACACUGGAACUGACACACGGUCCAGACUCCUACGGGAGGCAGCAGUGAGGAAUUUUGCGCAAUGGGGGAAACCCUGACGCAGCAACGCCGCGUGAGUGAUGAAGGCUUUCGGGUCGUAAAGCUCUGUCAAGUGGGAAGAACUCCCGUGAGGUUAAUACCCUCAUGGUUUGACGGUACCACUGAAGGAAGCACCGGCUAACUCCGUGCCAGCAGCCGCGGUAAUACGGGGGGUGCAAGCGUUAUUCGGAUUUACUGGGCGUAAAGCGCGCGUAGGCGGCCGUUUAAGUCAGAUGUGAAAGCCCGGGGCUCAACCCCGGAAGUGCAUUUGAUACUAUUCGGCUUGAGUAUGGGAGAGGGAAGUGGAAUUCCUGGUGUAGAGGUGAAAUUCGUAGAUAUCAGGAGGAACACCGGUGGCGAAGGCGACUUCCUGGACCAAUACUGACGCUGAGGCGCGAAGGCGUGGGUAGCAAACAGGAUUAGAUACCCUGGUAGUCCACGCAGUAAACGGUGAUCACUAGGUGUAGCGGGUAUUGACCCCUGCUGUGCCGCAGCUAACGCAUUAAGUGAUCCGCCUGGGGAGUACGGCCGCAAGGUUAAAACUCAAAGGAAUUGACGGGGGCCCGCACAAGCGGUGGAGCAUGUGGUUUAAUUCGACGCAACGCGAAGAACCUUACCUGGAUUUGACAUCUCGGGAAUUUCUAUGAAAGUAGAAAGUGCCCUUCGGGGAGCCCGAUGACAGGUGCUGCAUGGCUGUCGUCAGCUCGUGUCGUGAGAUGUUGGGUUAAGUCCCGCAACGAGCGCAACCCCUAUCUUUAGUUACCAGCACUUCGGGUGGGGACUCUAAAGAUACUGCCCCGGUCAACGGGGAGGAAGGUGGGGAUGACGUCAAGUCCUCAUGGCCUUUAUGUCCAGGGCUACACACGUGCUACAAUGGGCAGUACAGAGGGUCGCGACACUGCGAGGUGGAGCUAAUCCCUUAAAGCUGUUCCAAGGGCGGCAUGAAGUCGGAAUCGCUAGUAAUCGCGUAACAGCAUGACGCGGUGAAUACGUUCCCGGGCCUUGUACACACCGCCCGUC